AUAUGCUGAGUAGGAGGUGUUAUAAAGGGCAAGUGGGGCAAAAAGAUAUUGAGACAGACAGCCCCGGGGCUCUGCCACUCUAUCAUGGUCCUGUGGUCAUCUCUAUUCUUGACAGUCUCCCUGGAGAGUAGAAGACUGGGAAUGCUUUUCUGAGAGGCCAGAGAAGCCAGGACUUGCCUAAGAACAUCCUGAGAACCAGUUGACAGAAAAGUGGUCACAAAAUACAAGCCAAAGACUGCUGAAUCUACUCCCUUAGAAGAAAAUGAUCCCUGCUGGACCACCAGAACUAUAGCUUUCCAUUCUGAGCUGGCUUACAUCUUGGCUUACCUCUCCUAAGAGCCAAGCAUCAUGCACUCAGAUUGCCUAAGAAUGAGGUGGAGAAAUUCCCCAUAGAGCCAAGACUUCUGUGAGUCUUCAGUCAAUGAGGAGAAGAGAUCAAGUAAGGGGUUUGGAUCAGCCUCUGCAGAAGUGACCUUCCCCGAAUUCCUUUCAUUUUGGAAACCAGGGAUUUGCACAUCCCACUCCUUCUUUCUGGAAGCUCCUUGAACAUUUCCUUGGGAUUUUGAGGAAUCUUGGAGAGAAGAAUAAAGGGGAGUGUCAAAAGGGCCUUGAGAAACAUCUGCCUGAAUAAGGAGGAGAACUGAGGAAGCCAAAAGGGAAUGGAGUUGAGCACAUUGAUUCUUUUGGGAAAAUUCCAAAGAAGAGGGCUGCUAAUGGAUGUCUGAGAGGGGAGAGGGGUCCAGAAAUUUACCCAAAGGCCAUUCUGAGGAUCGGUUGGCAGAAAAGUGGUCACAACACACAAGCCACAGACUGCUGGAUCCAGUCCCAAAAGAAAGAAAAGAUCCCUGCCCAUCCCUCUGGAACAACAGCUUUCCAUUCUGAGGAAUCUUGGAGAGAAGACUAAAGGGGAGUGUCAAAAGGGCCUGAAUUCCUUCUUCCUGAAUUAGGAGGAGAGAUUAAGAGGCCCAAGGCAAAGGAGUUCAGCAUGUUGAUUCCUUUGGGAAAAUUCCAAAGAGGAGGGCUGCUAAUGGAUGUCUGAGAGGGGAGAGGGGUCCAGAAAUUUGCCCAAAGGCCAUUCUGAGGAUCGGUUGGCAGAAAAGUGGUCACAACACACAAGCCACAGACUGCUGCAUCCUGUCCCAAAAGAAAGAAAGGAUCCCUGUUCAUCCCUCCGGAACAACAGCUUUCCAUUCUGAGGAAUCUUGGAGAGAAGACUAAACGAGAGUGACAAAAAGGCCUUGAGAAAAAUCUGCCUGAAUUACAAAGAGAGAUUAAGAGGCCAAAGGCAAAGGAGUUGUACUGGUUGAUUCCUUUGGAAAUAUACCAAGGAAAAGAUCAGUAGAAGGCUAAGAUAUAUCAUCCCCUGAGAAGGAUCCCUAUUUAUUUGGUUAUUUAGACGUGGACGAGCACUCAGCCAUUCUCUCUUCCCCCAUAUAUUCAGAGCUGCUAAUGAAUGUGUAAGAGGGGAGAGAGGUCCAGAAAUUUACCCAAAGGCCAUUCUGAGGAUCAGUUGGCAGAAAAGUGGUCACGAAACACAAGCCACAGACUGCUGAAUCCAGUUCCAAAAGAAAGAAAAGAUCCCUGCUCAUCCCUCCAGAACAACAGCUUUCCAUUCUGAGAGGACUUCUAAUAGAUGUUGAAGAGGGGAAGAGGUCCAGAAAUUUACCCAAAGGGCACCCUGAGGAUCACUUGUCAGAAAAGUCAUCAGGAAACACAAGCGACAGACUGCUGAAUCCAGGUCCGAGGGAAAGAAAUUAUCCGUGCUGGUCCCCCUAGAACAGUUGCUUUCCAUUCUGAACAGCCUGAAGACAAAGAUGAGGCCUGAAGCAAGAGUCCAGUGCAGUUAUUUGUAAACAUGGGGCCAGGGAUAUGAGAGAGCAUCCUCCCAGGAAGGCUAAAGGCCCUUCUUAAUAGGCCCACCCUUAUUCCUACAAAUACUCUAGUUAACAGAAAUCUAAAAGAAAGCACAAAGCAGAAGGUGUCUCCACUCCAACCUGACAUCUUCCAACCUGCUACCAUGGAUCCAACAAAUGUUGCAGUGCAGCAUGGGAUACUCCCACAUAAACCCCACCCAGCCCCUCAGCCAGCCACACACCCAGAGAAGACACUGCCAUGCUCACAUGCAAAUUCUUGUUCCCCCAAAUCACUCCAUAAAAUAUUGUCAUCCCCAUCCAUUGGCAGUUACGGUGGCAGAAGCCCAAAGGCGGCCCACAGAGGCACUUUCAGAUACACAUGCCUGACUGAGGCAGAAGAGUCAUGGCAACCCAAGGCAACACAGGCUGGCAAUAUUCAUUCCUAUGGAAUGCGAUGGUGGAAGAGUCAGACAUCUCUCCUCCUCGACUAGUCUGUGAUGUUCUACCAGCCAGAGGGAGAGCGCUUCUCCCCCAACAUGCAAAGAUCAUGGAUAUCUCUCACUCAACUUGUCUCUGCUUCCACAAAGACAGAAGAAGAGCAAGAAUUAAGAAGCAGGAGCCCAAUUCAAUAUAGCAUUGGGGCUCAACGUAUAGGGAACACCUUUCCCUGGAGGGCAAUAAAUACUUCAUCACCACCAAAA